rnacentral:snRNA from 1 species
AGAUCACUUGAACCCAGGAAGCAGAGGUUGCAGUGAGCCGAGAUUGCGCCACUGCACUCCAGCCUGGGUGACAGAG